UUGCUUUAGGAGCACAUAUACUAAAAUUUGAACGAUACAGAGAAGAUUAGCAUGGUUCCUGCACAAGGAUAACACACAAAUUUUUGAAGUGUUCCAUAUUUUU